rnacentral:rRNA from 1 species
GACGAACGCUGGCGGCGUGCUUAACACAUGCAAGUCGAACGGAAAGGCCCUGCUUUCGUGGGGUGCUCGAGUGGCGAACGGGUGAGUAACACGGGAGUAACCUGCCCUUGACUUUGGGAUAACUUCAGGAAACUGGGGCUAAUACCGGAUAGGAGCUCCUGUUGCAUGGUGGGGGUUGGAAAUUUUCGGCGGGUGGGGAUGGACUCGCGGCUGAUCAGCUUGUUGGUUGGGUAGUGGCUUACCAAGGCAUUGACGGGUAGCCGGCCUGAGAGGGUGACCGGCCACCUUGGGACUGAGAUACGGCCCAGACUCCUACGGGAGGCAACAGUGGGGAAUAUUGCCCAAUGAGCGGAAGCCUGAUGCAGCAACGCCGCGUGCGGGAUGACGGCCUUCGGGUUGUAAACCGCUUUCGCCUGUGACGAAGCGUGAGUGACGGUAAUGGGUAAAGAAGCACCGGCUAACUACGUG